rnacentral:rRNA from 1 species
AUUGAACGCUGGCGGAAUGCUUUACACAUGCAAGUCGAACGGCAGCACGGGGCAACCUGGUGGCGAGUGGCGAACGGGUGAGUAAUACAUCGGAACGUGCCCAAUCGUGGGGGAUAACGUAGCGAAAGUUACGCUAAUACCGCAUACGAUCUACGGAUGAAAGCGGGGGAUCGCAAGACCUCGCGCGAAUGGAGCGGCCGAUGUCAGAUUAGGUAGUUGGUGGGGUAAAGGCUCACCAAGCCGACGAUCUGUAGCUGGUCUGAGAGGACGACCAGCCACACUGGGACUGAGACACGGCCCAGACUCCUACGGAGGCAGCAGUGGGGAAUUUUGGACAAUGGGCGCAAGCCUGAUCCAGCCAUGCCGCGUGAGUGAAGAAGGCCUUCGGGUUGUUAAAGACGUCUUUUCUAGACGGAAAGAAAAGUACGACGCGCUCUAACAUAGCGCGUGGAUGACGGUACCGUAAGAAGAAGCACCGGCUAACUACGUGCC